AAGAAAGACCCAGGGAUGGAGGCUGGAGCUUAGGAACCACUGGAAAAACUGUCAGAUCAAACUUAGGAUAAGCAGCACAGUAGAUACCAUCGCCUCGCUUCACAAGAAGAAAAGCUGAGGCUCAGAGAUGGGAAGUGACACAAGUCUUAGGGAAGAUGGGCUUCUGCCCCCGGCUCCCAACUCCCUCCCCAACACGCCCCCUCUUUCUUUCUCCCUCUUAACCUGUUUACCUCGUUGAGGGAGGGAAAGGAGGGCAGGAAGCAUGACUCACACCACAGAGUGCGGUUUUUUGGUAUAGAAAGUUGGGGACAGAGAUGGAGGCUGAUGGUUGAGGUUCUGAGAAAGCAGAGGUGACAGAGGUGGAACAAGAUGCUGAUGGCAGAGUGGAGACCAGGGCAAAAAACGAGGCUGUCACGACUGGGGACAGGCAGGAUGCCUGGGCUCGGAGAAAGGGUUGGGGGACCAAGG
rnacentral:lncRNA from 1 species